GAGGGUUCUGGUCAGUUUGGCCAGUGAUGUCACACCAGCAGUAAAAACACCCUCUCAGGCAGCUAUAAAAGAAAGCAGCAUGAACUCUUUGGAGGAAUCCUGUACAAAGAAGCUUCAGCAGCUCCUCAUCACACUUUGAGACUUAAAGCUCCAACAUGAUCUUGCUCCUCUUAUGUUCAGUCUGGCUCUGGGUGCUCCUUCUGAGUCUCCUUCUGAUGGCAGUGAAGUGAAGCUACAACUUGGAAUGGAGUCCGCUGUGCAGGUCACCAAAUACUACUGACACAAGUACCUGAACUUUGCUGUACUGUAAUUUAUGUAUCAUAAAAGUCGUUCUUGGCAAAAUGAAACAUUUAGUUUAGAUGUUAAAAUGUGAGCUCUCCACUCCCUUUUUAAUAACAGGAAACCUGCAUGAAAAUGGAUCAAUUAUGGAAGGCCUACUUACAGUAACUAAAUAACUCUCUAUACAAUAGUUUCUAUAUACAAACCACUUGAAGGCUAUAAAAAGAUAGAGGAUCACUUCGAAAUGUCAGUUUCCACUGUUAGAAAUGUUACCAGGAAACUUCAGUAAAGGGAUAUGGUGGAAGCUCAGAUGAACAAAGCUUUAAGACGAUCACACAAACCUCUCACAUGAGUGCCAAAUAUCUGCAGGACAGUGUAGCUGACACAGCAGUGGUAAUGAUCUGCUUUUAGAUUAGUCUGGUUACUGCAGGGGUUUUAUUUUGGAUGCUUUACAAUUGUAAUAGACACAAGUGUGCUUAGAGAUUUGUAUACACUGUAAAUAUCUCAAAGUA